rnacentral:rRNA from 1 species
GACGAACGCUGGCGGCGUGCUUAACACAUGCAAGUCGAACGGAAAGGCCCCAGCUUGCUGGGGUGCUCGAGUGGCGAACGGGUGAGUAACACGUGGGUGAUCUGCCCUGCACUCUGGGAUAAGCCUGGGAAACUGGGUCUAAUACCGGAUAGGACCGUGCUUUAGUGUGUGCGGUGGAAAGUUUUUCGGUGCAGGAUGAGCCCGCGGCCUAUCAGCUUGUUGGUGGGGUAAUGGCCUACCAAGGCGGCGACGGGUAGCCGGCCUGAGAGGGUGUACGGCCACAUUGGGACUGAGACACGGCCCAGACUCCUACGGGAGGCAGCAGUGGGGAAUAUUGCACAAUGGGCGCAAGCCUGAUGCAGCGACGCCGCGUGGGGGAUGACGGCCUUCGGGUUGUAAACCCCUUUCGGCAGGGACGAAGCUUUUGUGACGGUACCUGCAUAAGAAGCACCGGCUAACUACGUG